UACGUAGGUGGCAAGCGUUGUCCGGAUUUAUUGGGUUUAAAGGGUGCGUAGGUGGUUCCAUAAGUCAGUGGUGAAAUACGGCAGCUUAACUGUCGAGGUGCCAUUGAUACUGCGGAACUUGAGUACAGACGAGGUAGGCGGAAUUGACGGUGUAGCGGUGAAAUGCUUAGAUAUCGUCAAGAACACCGAUAGCGAAGGCAGCUUACUAGACUGUAACUGACACUGAGGCACGAAAGUGUGGGGAUCAAACAGG
rnacentral:ncRNA from 4 species